rnacentral:rRNA from 1 species
CAGGGUGGCUAUGGCACGGGGGAACCACCUCUUCCCAUUCCGAACAGAGAAGUUAAGACCCGUCACGCCGAUGGUACUGCGUAAAAGUGGGAGAGUAGGUAGCUGCCGUCC